GGCGUGAACGACAUCUCAGCAGCAGAGCAGCAGCAGAGCAGCAGCAGAGCAGAGCAGCAGCAGAGCGAUGGACGCGGGGUUCCUUCUUCAGCCGAAAGACCGUGGCAGUGGUCUACUUCAGGGAACUGCGAUUGUUUCAUCCUUGUUUACCUUUUCUUGCCGGUAAUGCCGCCCGAGAGGAACUCCAGCUCCCUCGACAGUGCCGUGGACGAGGCGGAGUCCACAGGUCCAGGCUACACGGCAGAUGGUGUCCAAACAGUUCGGCAGCACCUCCGUCAUCAUCGCGGACACACCGCUGGGCCUGAACUUGACGGUACGGACGCUUUCCAGCCAUAGCGACUCCGGGUCAGAAGACUUCCCCGUCGGCUUGGACGCUUGUCGGUCGUCCGGUUUCCAGUACUGCCUAAGCUCCUGGCUGACGUACAUUCCGAUGACAUCUUCCACUUGCGGGGACCCUUGACGAUGUCGGAGGGAAAGGUGUCGUCGCUCAUAGCCCCCGUUAGACGUGCAGACUCACUCUUCUGCUGUGACGACGGAACCUGAAGCUUGGUAAGCCGGACGCGGAAAAGAAAUAUGGAUCUUGACGAUUGUGCCUGGCAGCGAGCGGACAACUUACGACGGGAACAGCGGUGUAUCCAAAUAACAAUAAACUUGGUUGCUUUUUCGAAAUUCUGUUUGCCAAAUAAACAUGCUGUUGAUUAACCUG